UACGAAGGGGGCGAGCGUUGUUCGGAUUUACUGGGCGUAAAGGGCGCGCAGGCGGCUGCUCAAGUCAGGCGUGAAAGGCCUGGGCUCAACCCGGGAAUUGCGCUUGAGACUGGGCUGGCUUGAGUGCGGGAGAGGAUGGUGGAAUUCCCAGUGUAGAGGUGAAAUUCGUAGAUAUUGGGAAGAACACCAGUGGCGAAGGCGGUUGCCUGGAGCUUUGCUGACGCUGAGGCGCGAAAGCGUGGGGAGCGAGUCCGG
rnacentral:rRNA from 1 species